rnacentral:rRNA from 1 species
UAUGCACUAUUCUCUUCAGUACGAAAGGACCAAGAAAAUAAGACCCAUGCUUAUAGUAAGUCCUCAACACCAAUUGAAACAAACUUAAAACUAUAGUAUCAACCCCCCCCCCUAAAACAGGGAC